CAGCAGCCACGGUAAUACGUAGGUGGCAAGCGUUGUCCGGAAUUAUUGGGCGUAAAGGGCUCGCAGGCGGUUUCUUACGUCUGAUGUGAAGGCCCCCGGCUCAACCGGGGAGGGUCAUUGGAAACUGGGAAACUUGAGUGCAGAAGGGGAGAGUGGAAUUCCACGUGUAGCGGUGAAAUGCGUAGAGAUGUGGAGGAACACCAGUGGCGAAGGCGACUCUCUGGUCUGUAACUGACGCUGAGGAGCGAAAGCGUGGGGAGCGAACAGGAUUAGAGACCCGCGUAGUCCCUGUCUCUUAUAC
rnacentral:rRNA from 1 species